CACGUAGGGCGCAAGCGUUGUCCGGAAUUAUUGGGCGUAAAGAGCUCGUAGGCGGCUUGUUGCGUCGACCGUGAAAACCCGGGGCUCAACUUCGGGCUUGCGGUCGAUACGGGCGGGCUAGAGUUCGGUAGGGGAGACUGGAAUUCCUGGUGUAGCGGUGAAAUGCGCAGAUAUCAGGAGGAACACCGGUGGCGAAGGCGGUUCUCUGGGCCUGUACUGACGCUGAGGAGCGAAAGCGUGGGGAGCGAACAGG
rnacentral:rRNA from 1 species